UGCGGGGGCCGAGGAAGUGGGGCGGCCCCGGCGAUGCCCCCGCCCCGCUGCGUCCGGGCGUCGGAGGCGACGGCGGCGCAGGUCCCGCGCACGUGAGGGGCGCACGGAGCCCCCAGCGCAGCCGGGAUCGGCCUCGGACCCCGGACAGGUGCCACUGAGCUCUGCAGGGGAGGCGGCCUCUUUCACGGAGCCACUUCCGGGGUCUUCAUGCAGCCAUGGAUCUGGAUAAACCCUCCGUCUGGGGCUCCUUCAAACAGCGGACCAGGCCUUUGCUGCUCAACCUGAGCAAAAAGAAGGUGAAGAAGCACCCCGACAAACCCCCAGACUUAGGGGAGCGGCAUUGCCUGGAUCGCCGCCUCAGCCUCUCGGUCCCUGACCUCCUGGGGGCCCAGUCGUCCUACACCUCCGUGCCCAGCAGCCUGUCCACGGCAGGGAUCGUGUCCAAGAGCUGCAGCAGCUCCUUGAAACAGUCGGAAGAAGAGCUGGACUGGAGCCAGGAAGAGGCAGGCCACCUGCACGCGGCGGAUACGGACUCUGAGGAGACCUUCGCCUCGCCGGCCGCGGACAGGAGGGCUUCCAGCAAUGGCCUCUUUGAUCUGCUCCAGAAGGCGCCCCCGGGAGAGAAUGCUCUGGAGGAUCCAGAGAAGCUCUGUGGAAGUGGUGAUCUCAAUGCGUCUACAACGUCCCAGCAGUUUGAAGAACAGUCUACCCUCGGGGAAGCCAGUGACGGCGUGAGCAACCUGCCCAGCCCCUUCGCCUACCUCCUCACCAUCCACCUGAAGGAGGGCCGGAACCUGGUCAUCCGGGACCGCUGCGGCACCAGCGAUCCCUACGUGAAAUUUAAGCUGAACGGGAAGACGCUGUACAAAAGUAAAGUCAUAUAUAAGAACUUGAACCCCGUCUGGGAUGAGAUCGUUGUCUUGCCCAUACAGAGCCUUGAUCAGAAGCUCCGUGUGAAGGUAUAUGAUCGAGAUUUAACUACAUCUGAUUUCAUGGGCUCUGCGUUUGUCAUCCUCAGCGAACUUGAGCUGAACAGAACGACUGAACAUAUUUUAAAAUUGGAAGACCCGAACAGUUUAGAAGACGACAUGGGAGUGAUUGUGUUAAAUCUGAACCUCGUCGUGAAACAGGGUGACUUUAAGAGACAUCGUUGGUCGAAUCGCAAGCGGAUAAGUGGAAGCAAGUCCUCGGUGAUCCGCAGCCUCCGGCUCUCAGAGGCCUUGAGGAAGAACCAGCUCUGGGACGGGACCAUAAGCAUCGCGUUGCUGGAAGGAAAGAACGUCUCGGUGGGAAAUGUGGCAGAGAUGUUUGUCCUGUUAAAACUGGGCGAUCAGAGGUACAAAAGCAAGACACUGUGUAAGAGUGCACAUCCGCAGUGGCGGGAAGAGUUUGACUUUCACUACUUCUCUGACAGGAUGGGCAUCUUGGACAUUGAGGUCUGGGGAAAGGACGGCAAAAAGCACGAGGAGCGACUGGGCACAUGUAAAGUGGACAUCGCCUCGCUCCCACUCAAGCAAGCCAACUGCUUAGAGCUGCCCCUGGACAGCUGCCUGGGGGCCCUCCUGGUGCUGAUCACGCUGACGCCCUGCGGGGGGGUCUCCAUGUCCGACCCUUGUGUGUGCCCCUUGGCGGACCCCAGCGAGAGGAAGCAGAUCACCCAGCGCUAUUGUUUGCAGAACUCCCUGAAAGACAUGAAGGACAUCGGCAUUUUACAAGUGAAGGUUUUAAAGGCUGUGGACCUCUUAGCUGCUGACUUCUCAGGGAAGAGCGACCCUUUCUGCUUGUUGGAGUUGGGCAAUGACCGGCUGCAGACGCACACCAUCUACAAGACCCUCAACCCCGAGUGGAACAAAGUUUUCACGUUCCGUGUUAAAGACGUCCACGAUGCUUUGGAAGUGACAGUGUUUGAUGAGGACGGCGACAAACCCCCGGAUUUCCUUGGGAAAGUCUCCAUUCCCUUGCUGUCCAUUCGAGAUGGACAAACGAAUUGCUACGUAUUGAAGAAUAAAGAUUUAGAACAAGCUUUUAAAGGGGUCAUUUACUUGGAGAUGGAUCUCAUCUAUAAUCCGGUCAAAGCCAGUAUCAGGACCUUUACGCCCAGGGAAAAGCGCUUUGUGGAAGACAGCCGCAAGCUGUCCAAAAAGAUCUUAUCCAGAGAUGUGGACCGCGUGAAAAGGAUCACCAUGGCGAUAUGGAAUACACUCCAGUUCCUGAAAAGCUGCUUCCAGUGGGAGUCCACGCUGAGGAGCUCCAUCGCGUUUGUGGUGUUCCUGGCCACGGUGUGGAAUUUUGAGCUGUACAUGAUCCCCCUGGCGUUGCUGCUGCUCUUUGCCUAUAAUUUCAUCGAACCCACGAAAGGGAAGGCGAGCAGCACCCACGACUCCCAGGAGAGCACGGAAGUCGAUGACGAGGAGGAUGAAGAUGACAAGGAAUCCGAGAAAAAGGGCAUCAUCGAAAGAAUCUACAUGGUACAGGACAUCGUUUCCACAGUCCAGAACAUCUUGGAGGAAGUAGCUUCCUUUGGAGAAAGAAUUAAAAACACGUUUAACUGGACGGUGCCGUUCCUUUCAUUCCUGGCCUGUGUGGUGCUGGCGGUCGCCACCGUCACGCUGUACUUCGUCCCACUUCGGUACCUCGUGUUAAUCUGGGGCAUCAAUAAAUUUACUAAGAAGUUCCGAAAUCCCUAUGCCAUCGACAAUAACGAGCUACUAGACUUCCUCUCCAGGGUACCGUCUGAUGUUCAAAAGGUGCAGUACGCGGAGCUGAGGCCGUGCAGCAGCCAGAGCCCCCUUCGCAAGAAGCGCAGUGGGCUCUAGGACCCGCGCCGCCCGUGGCCGCCAGCACCCCGUUCUGGGUUUGGGCGAUGGGGCCCAGGGUAUGGCUCUCUCGGUGGCACCGCGGUCAGUGCCGUUCGGACACACGUGUCAUAUGGUGCCCUGCCUGUCGUCUCCCCGCUUCUUCAAGUGCACAGAUGCACACACGCACACGGGGACGUGCACACGCGUGGAUGUCCUAGCGGCACAGCGGGCCAGCCCAGCAGGAGGAGGCGAUCCGGAGACUGAAAGACUCACAUCCCUUCUCCUGGAGGAGAGAAAGCAAGGCUGCCGCGGGGCUGAACAGCCAGGAGACCCCUCACAUUCGAGAGGGACUUUGAACUUGUGCUCACACCUCCAGCGGCCGGUUCCCGUGAGGAUUCCCUCAUUUUUGCUCCCCACCCCCACGCUCCUUUCCCAUGAUGGUUCCUGUGAGUCCGUUGUUUUUUUCCCCUCUGAGCUAACACGUCUUUGAUAGAUACCAUCUACCCAAGGAACGCAUCUUAUCAACAGACUAGAGGCCUGAUGGAUGAAAUCUGUGCAAGAGUAGGCCUUCCCAGCUGUGGCAGCUGCCGCCAUCCCUCCCUCACAGCCGAGGCGGCUACAGCCCCAGCUUGGUCCGGAAGGACGUCCGGAAGGAUGUCCAGUCUAAUUAGCAUACUAUGCUUUUGUUAUUAUAGAUUUUUCAGUAAUGAUCAGGAUUAGCCCUGAUCCUUGGGGAAGCGUUCAGCCGUGAUUCCUGAAGAUCUGUAUGCCAAAUCUCAGUCAAGUCCCCGGCGCUGGGAGCCAUCCUGCCUCACCCCCGUUGCUGGCAAUGGGUGCCAGGAAGGUCAAAAGGGAACACUCGUCCCAAAAGUGAAGGGUUCCUGCAAGUAUUUGGGUGUCUUAAAGCACCAUUUCUUCCGAUUGUACUAUGUGCUUAUUUCCGAACUAAAAUGUCCAUGUGACGGCUUCAGGAAAGGGGACGGAAUGAAUGAGGCAAAGAAGGAAGGAAUGAACUCAAGAGUACUUAGGUCAAGGCCUGGGAGCAAGGGAUGAACAUGAGGCUGCUUACCCAAGGGCCAUCAUCACCUCAUUUGCUCGCAUUUUUGAGCAGAAAGUGAAGAUAUUUUAGCAGCCCCAGCUGAUCAUUUGUUCCUCGUAAGGGUACAAUAAGUUACCCGAGAUAAAAAUACAUCUCUCAGCCCUUUUCCUAGAAAAGUACCACUUCCAUCAAGAGUCCCCGAUUCCUGCCGGCCCCAGCAUUUCACAGUAACCUCCCCCCGUAAAAGUUCCAAUUUUGUGCACAUAUGUAAUCUGAAAAUUUCUUCUCAAGCGACAUAAUUUCAAAAUGAAAUAACACUGCCUGACCAGAAGGCAUCGUCAGCUAGACCUGCUUCCUCUGCAGCCCCCCGACUGGAAUUCUCAGCGUCAAGUUUAGGCCACCACCGGCCACUGGGACGCUGGGCCGAAUCAACCCUUAAAAGCUGCCUGUGGAAAACAGUUGUUAAUCGAUUAAGUAGACACUGGACGCAAAAGCGGAAUGGGAGUUGUAAGUGCAAUGCGAAGGUUUUUGUAAGUCACCAGGAAUUUGUAUGGGGCCGGCCUAUGAACCAGGAGGUCAGGGUUCAAUUCCUCGUCAGGGCACAUGCCCAGGUUGCAAGCUCGAUUCCCCAGUGUGGGGCGUGCAGGAGGCAGCCGAUCCAUGAUUCUCUCUCAUCGUCGAGGUCUCUCUCUCUCUCUCUCUCUCACCCUCUUCCACUCUUUGAAAUCAAUAAAAACAAGAAAAAAAACAGGAAAGAGAACCAAUGAAAAUAAACACUUAAAAUUGUGUAAGAGCUGGGAGUAAUUUUCCACAAUAAACCAAAGAGACGGGUCCCACGCCAUCUUACUAUGUGUGAAAUUCAGUUUAGUCAAUCGUCAGCUUUUAAAGAUUUUUUUUUUUUAUCAGUACUAACUGAUCACCUACUAAAGCAUUAAAAAGGCUUCUACGCUGUCUUUACAAGAGAAGAAAGGCACUUAAAACAGGAAGACAAAUGGCUUCUUAGAAAGGGAAGGAGGUCCCAAUGGCUCAUGGGAACGCAAAUGACUUUUAGGGAAAGCAGGUGUGUCCUUAGAAUACAGAGAGGAUGGUUGCGAGGCAAUAUCUGUUUAGGUGCAAUGUUUUCUUGUUGUCUCGGGUGAUGACAGUCUAUCUUCCCAGGUUGCUGUUGGAAUUUAAACAACUGAGUUCCUUUGGGAGGCUCUACUUUUAUUCAGAUAAAGGAAUUCGGGGUGGGGAGGGGAUUCCGCUAUCUUGAUUCUCAAAUGCGUUCGGCUCAAAAUAAUUUCAUGGACUCCUUCCAUAAGCCAUGUCUGCAGACACACAUCCAUGUUUGUAAAAUUACAUAUCUCUCAAAAUUGGUCCACGGACUCCAACUCAAAACCUGUGGGCUCAGGCAAAACAUUCAACGUUAACCUCUUGCUGCAUUUGAAACCUCAGGGUGAAGAAAGAAUGUUUUCCGGAAGCCCAGUGUCAUUGGCCUGCGCCCUCCCAGAAUUCACUCAUUUAUUAUUUAAUCAAGCUUUUCUCUGGGAAAUAUUUUAUUAGGCCUGUCUUUGUAGCUGAGAAACCCUGAGAUUUGUUUCUCUCCCUGUUCCUUUAAUUCAUUAUGAUAAUACAUACAAGCCCUGCCUUUGCAUGUAUUUGCUUUACUAGAUCAAAACAAUGGUCAGGAAAGUUAAAACACAUGAAAUCAUUUGUUGAACUGCCUAACAGAUAGCUCUAGCCUGACUGAUUUCGCAUGCAUCCAUCAGAUUUCAAUCUGGCAGUGGUAAUUUUGACCUACUUAAUGGUUAAGGCUUGCCUUGAAUUUGUUUUUAUUUUUUAUAUUUUUACUCCCAAAAGGCCGGCAUAAGCCGAAGUGGUCCAGCCACAAAAAAAAAAA